rnacentral:tRNA from 1 species
UCCCUGGUGGCUCAGAUGGUAAAAGCGUCUGUUUACAAUGCAGGUGACCCGGGUUCGAUCCCUGGGUUGGGAA